GAUUGAACGCUGGCGGCAGGCUUAACACAUGCAAGUCGAGCGGAGAUGAGGUGCUUGCACCUUAUCUUAGCGGCGGACGGGUGAGUAAUGCUUAGGAAUCUGCCUAUUAGUGGGGGACAACAUUCCGAAAGGAAUGCUAAUACCGCAUACGCCCUACGGGGGAAAGCAGGGGAUCUUCGGACCUUGCGCUAAUAGAUGAGCCUAAGUCGGAUUAGCUAGUUGGUGGGGUAAAGGCCUACCAAGGCGACGAUCUGUAGCGGGUCUGAGAGGAUGAUCCGCCACACUGGGACUGAGACACGGCCCAGACUCCUACGGGAGGCAGCAGUGGGGAAUAUUGGACAAUGGGCGGAAGCCUGAUCCAGCCAUGCCGCGUGUGUGAAGAAGGCCUUUUGGUUGUAAAACACUUUAAGCGAGGAGGAGGCUACCUGGAUUAAUACUCUAGGAUAGUGGACGUUACUCGCAGAAUAAGCACCGGCUAACUCUGUGCCAGCAGCUGCGGUAAUACAGAGGGUGCGAGCGUUAAUCGGAUUUACUGGGCGUAAAGCGUGCGUAGGCGGCUGGUUAAGUCGGAUGUGAAAUCCCUGAGCUUAACUUAGGAAUUGCAUUCGAUACUGGUCAGCUAGAGUAUGGGAGAGGAUGGUAGAAUUCCAGGUGUAGCGGUGAAAUGCGUAGAGAUCUGGAGGAAUACCGAUGGCGAAGGCAGCCAUCUGGCCUAAUACUGACGCUGAGGUACGAAAGCAUGGGGAGCAAACAGGAUUAGAUACCCUGGUAGUCCAUGCCGUAAACGAUGUCUACUAGCCGUUGGGGCCUUUGAGGCUUUAGUGGCGCAGCUAACG
rnacentral:rRNA from 1 species